UGUAUGGAACGUCUGUAAUCUAGUAUGAGAAAUUAAUGAUCUAAGUCCUUCUUAAAUGAGGCCAUUUACCCAUAGAGGGUGCCAGGCCCGUAUAACGUUAAUGAUUACUAGAAGAUGUUUCCAAAGAGUCGUGUUGCUUGAUAGUGCAGCACUAAGUGGGUGGUAAACUCCAUCUAAAACUAAAUAUAACCAUGAGACCGAUAGUAAACAAGUACCGUGAGGGAAAGUUGAAAAGAACUCUGAAUAGAGAGUUAAAUAGUACGUGAAACUGCUUAGAGGUUAAGCCCGAUGAACCUGAAUAUCCAUUAUGGAAAAUUCAUCAUUAUAUCUGUAAUAUUUAUAAUAUCAUAGAAAUGGUGUGCAUUUUUUCCAUAUAAGGACAUUGUAAUCUAUUAACAUAAUAUAUAUUUAUCAAAAGGUCAUUUGCUUAUGUUUAUUCAAAUUAAUUUGCUUGCAAGUUAACACAGAAUAAAUGCUUAUGAUUUGAUAAAGUGUUGAUAGAUUAAUAAUAUAUAGUGCUUAAAUACUUUUGUAUUUUACAAUGAUUUAAUUAUCUUAUGAUUUUUAUAUUUAUUGUAUGCGCUUAUAUGAUUAACAAUGCGAUAGAUUCAGGAUACCUUCGGGACCCGUCUUGAAACACGGACCAAGGAGUCUAACAUAUGUGCAAGUCAUUGGGAUUAUUUAUAUAAACCCAAAGGCGUAAUUAACUUAACUGUUUAAAUGGGAUUAGUUUUUAGUCUUUAUGUCUAUUAAUUCAAUCCCGGGGCGUUCUAUACUA
rnacentral:rRNA from 1 species